GCUGUGUGUGUGUGUAUGUGUGUGGAGUUGGCAGGGGAUUGCGUAAUGACAGGAGCAGUAUGUAUGUUUGUGGUGAUGGGGCGGAGGUAGUAUCCCAUGGCCAGCAGCAGGGCAUGCAGGUCACAGCUGCUCUUUAUCUCACCUUCCAUCACCCCAUCCCUUCGCAUCCACAUCCUUUAACAGAGUCCCUCGCAGCACAGAGAGCUUUUGUCCAGACCGUUUCCUGUGCCGUAAACUUGCCGAGUGGCUGAUAUGUGAGAGGAGGCAGCCUCCUCCCCUCCCCAGCUACCUACGUGGCUCCAGUUGUCUGUGUGUGUCUUACCUUGUCCUGAGCAAUCCGAACCCUGGGGAAGCUGACGCAAGACCCAGAAGAGUGCCUGCCUCUGACCCCUUCCUCAGCCCAGGGCUCCCAAGUCACCUUUUCAUCAAAUCCCAUUUGUGGAAUCUGGUUACAGAGUGGGAGCCUGGCUUUGGUAUUCAGGCUCUUCGGAUCAGGCAGGAGAGCAUUGAGUUUGAGCCUUAGUUUUGGAGGUGCCUGAUUCUCUUGUACAUGUGCCCUCUAACUGGCUACGACUCUUAGGAGGACACCACAAUGGUGUGCCCCAUACUGAGGACACAGCUACGCUGUGAUGGUGGCAGCCCUUUCCUGGGCCACGGCCAUGUUCACAUGCAGCACUAAGCGCUUACAUGGUGUGUCUGUCUGCGUCAGACUCACAGGAGGCACUUUCUGCUUGUGGCUCUCUCCCAGCUAUCCUUGCGUAUUCACUCUUGCUGCCCAGGGUGCCCUUCAGUGCAUCCCAUUUUGUUACUGUUUAGGUGAUUCUGGUUGCCUGAUUUUAUACACGUACCAUUCCAGCUAGCCUGAUGGGGGGGAAAAUGGCUAGCCCAUAAUAAAUCAUCAGAUCCGGCACCUCUGCCCUCUACAGGAAUUGGCUAGAGCAAAGUAAGCAGUCAUGAGAAAAGAGGGAGGGUCCUCACAUGGACCAGUAACUGAUUAAAAGAUAGGAAACAAAAAACAAAAGGUAAUAGAUGGUCAGUUUUCACAAUGGAGAGAGGUAAACAGCAGGGUCUCCCAAGGCUCUGUGCUGGGCCCAAUGCUGUUCAACAUAUUCACAAAUGAUCUAGAAAAGAGGUAAACAGUGAAGUGCCAACAUUUGCAGAUGAUACAGAAUUACUCCCUAUAGUUUUCAGAAUAGCAGCCGUGUUAGUCUGUAUUCGCAAAAAGAAAAGGAGUACUUGUGGCACCUUAGAGACUAACUAAUAGUGACCUCCCAAACUGGAUGCAAAGAGUUACAAAGGGUUCUCACAAAACUGGGUGAUUAGGUAACAAAAUGGCCGAUGAAAUUCAGUGUCGACAAAUGCAAAGUAAUGCACAAUGGGAAGCAUAAUCCCAACUAUAUAUACAAAAUGAUGGGCUCUAUAUUAGUUAUUACUCCGCAAGAAAGAGAUCAUGGAGUCAUUGUGGUUAGUUAAAACAUCUCAGUGUGCAGUGGCAGUCAAAAAAGCUAACCAAAUGUUAGGAACGAUUAGGAAAGGGAUAAAUAAUAAGACAAAAAAUAUAGUCAUGCCACUAUAUAAAUCCAUGGUAUGCUCACACCUGGAGUACUGCAUGCCCCAUCUUAAAAAGAUGUGUUAGAAUUGGAAAAGAUAGAGUGAAGGGCAACAAAAACAGACUAGGAGAGAUUAAAAAGACAGGGUCUGUUCAGACUAGAGAAGAGACGACUAAUGGGGGACAUGAUCAAGGUCUAUACAAUCAUGACUGGCGUGGAGAAAGUGAAUAAGGAAGUGUUAUUUACCCCUUCACAUAAUGCAAGAAGCAGGGGUCACCCACUGAAAUUAAUAGGCAGGAGG